rnacentral:RNase_P_RNA from 1 species
CGAGGUGGCCGGGCGACCGCGGUGACCAGGACCAGCAGCACGUGCUGCCGGGCUGGACGCCGAGGAAAGUCCGGACUCCACAGAGCAGGGUGGUUGCCAACAGCAACCCGGGGUGACCCGCGGGACAGUGCCACAGAGAACAGACCGCCAGGGCGUGCCCUGGCAAGGGUGAAACGGUGCGGCAAGAGCGCACCAGCGCUCCGGGUGACCGGAGCGGCUCGGUAAACCCCACCCGGAGCAAGGUCAAAGGUCGAACCCGUGAGGGUGCGGCUGCGCAGGUGCUCGAGGGCUGCUCGCCCGAGCCUGCGGGUGGACCGCUCGAGGCGCCCGGCGACGGUGCGUCCAGAUGGAUGGUCGCCACCCGGUGCUCGCACCGGGCACAGGAUCCGGCUUACAGGCCACCUCGUCCG